CGAGCGAGAAAGUCCGCAAGGAUGAGUAAAGCGGCGCACGGGUGCGUAACACGUGGGUAAUCUGCCCUGGAGCCCGGAAUAACUCUCCGAAAGGGGUGCUAAUGCCGGAUGAGACCACGGGGGCUUCGGCUCCCGAGGGAAAAGAUGGCCUCUGCAUGCAAGCUAUCGCUUCGAGAUGAGCCCGCGGCCCAUCAGCUUGUUGGCGGGGUAACGGCCCACCAAGGCUACGACGGGUAGCUGGUCUGAGAGGACGAUCAGCCACACUGGAACUGAGACACGGUCCAGACUCCUACGGGAGGCAGCAGUGGG
rnacentral:sRNA from 1 species